GAUGAACGCUGGCGGCGUGCCUAAUACAUGCAAGUCGAGCGAACAGACGAGGAGCUUGCUCCUUUGACGUUAGCGGCGGACGGGUGAGUAACACGUAGGUAACCUACCUAUAAGACUGGGAUAACUUCGGGAAACCGGAGCUAAUACCGGAUAAUAUUUCGAACCGCAUUGUUCGAUAGUGAAAGAUGGCUUUGCUAUCACUUAUAGAUGGACCUGCGCCGUAUUAGCUAGUUGGUAAGGUAACGGCUUACCAACGCAACGAUACGUAGCCGACCUGUGAGGGUGAUCGGCCACACUGGAACUGAGACACGGUCCAGACUCCUACGGGAGGCAGCAGUAGGGAAUCUUCCGCAAUGGGCGAAAGCCUGACGGAGCAACGCCGCGUGAGUGAUGAAGGUCUUCGGAUCGUAAAACUCUGUUAUUAGGGAAGAACAAACGUGUAAGUAACUGUGCACGUCUUGACGGUACCUAAUCAGAAAGCCACGGCUAACUACGUG
rnacentral:rRNA from 1 species